CAUAAAAAAAUCAUUUAAUAUUAGGAUAAAGAGAAUAACUUAUCCAAUAAAAUAUACCAAGGUUGGCCCAACAAGCAAAAGUCAUCGGGAGAAAAACAUGGAGACAAAUACCGAGAAAACAGAUAAGGAUAGGAUCGAAUCAAAACCAAACAGCAGCUUGCGGAACCCUCCCUCAUGCAUCACCUUCCAAAAUCAAAAAAAGAAAACGCAGAAAUACAAAAGAGGAAAGGCACCACCAAGUUUAUGAAUCACUGGAAAAACAGGACCAAAAAUAGCACACCGAUCAUAAUUGCACAUCUUGAAACAAGAUUUAUCACCAUUAUGAUCUACAGAAUCACUCUCCUGACAUCUCUGCUCUGAAAGAAAGAAAUAACCCAAGUCUCUGCCACCAGGUUGCUGCAGCGAAAUGGAAUCGAAGGCAAAUUAUAUAUCACCUGCUCGUCUAGCAAGCUGCUUGAAAAAGGAGACAGGUCGCCACACUGUUAUUUGUCGAAAAGACCAAGAUGCACACAAUCAAACAGACCCAUAAUUGCAGGGGAAGUUGAAAAGAAGGUGCAAAUCCAGCUUUGUGGUCUCCCAAAAAGGGCAAACAACAUGAGGUCUUAUAAUUUCCUGUCGCACGAUAAAAAAUUCAAGAAAACUGAAUUUAAAGGACAAGCAUAUCGAAUAGAACCAGGAAAUGGAAUUUGUUCUAAAUUCCUAUCCCUGAACCAAAACAAACUUUAAAGCAUUGCUCUAGCAAAAACGUAACAGCCGAAGCAUCUCCCUUCACCAGAGUCCUAGAGAGAACACAUGAAACAAACAAUAGAACUUGCAAGCAUCAUCUAACAGGUCAUGUUAAAAAGAUCAAUUGCACAGAAUAGGAAAACAAUCUCAGAAACGAAACAUAAAAAAAAAAAGAAGAAGCCAAACCUAGUACCAAAGCGUACAGCAACCAUGAAGCAGCUGUACUGCCAUCGUUAGCAAUAUGAAAUUACUUCUUUCCAGCUAAGUGCGAUAACCUGGUCCAAGGAAAACUCUGCUACAAGGCGGGACAUCAUAAUAAUAGAAAGGCCUACCAAGUUGACACGUCCAAAUGGAAACAAAGGGCUAGGAUGGUGCAAAACUCCCUGUGGCAAAAACAGUAUAAAAGCAUUAUCUUCUGCUUUAAGAAGAGUCUGACAAACACAUAACCAAAGAUUAGAUUCUAAUAGCACUUAAAAAUAAAAAAUAACGAUGUGUUAAAAAUAAAAAAUAACAAUGUGAGACGGAAAGGGAACAGAAUUCCCAGCUAAGAAGUAACCCACAAAAAAAACCACCAUUUGUCAUCUCUUUUAGAUAAUACAUCUACAAGAAACUUAUGCAAGAUGAUAUUCCUGGCGUGUGCGAACCAAAAUUGAAACCUCACAACGUUAAUUUUAUUGAAACAUGAAAACAUAACUGCUUGAUGAGUGACAAAAGAAAGCCAGAGAUGCAUAACAUACACCGAACCUCAGUUGAAAAAACCAACCUUCAGUUACAAGCUCAGCAAGUCAGCCAAAAACCAACUAAUGCCAAAACCAAAGUUCAAAGCUUGAUCGCAUGCCAGAAAUUGCUAAAUGCUUCAGAUGAUGGAUAACUUCAUUUUACAGGACUCCAUAAUCAACUUGUGCACAAAUCCAAAAUAAACAUACAACAGAAUCGGUCAAAUAGAAGUUGACGAACCAUCACGAAAGUCUUAGCUCUUCCAAUGCAGGAAAUCAUUAAGCUAUCCAUCCAAGACAUACAGAAAUGCUCACAGCUUGCUAUAGACAAGCAACCAGUCCAGGAAGAAGAAUGUAAGUUUGUAUCUUAAAACAAGGGGAAGAUCAAAUCAGAUUGCCUUCACAGCAAUUCUUCCCUUUUUCCAUACAUUCAAGGAUCCAUGAACCUAUGAAGCGACAGAGGGAACGAAGAGACGAAAGAAAGGUGGUACAGACUCCUCAAACAUCUGCAGCACUUCUGUUAGGUGUACAGGGAAAGGUGAGAAACUGAAAUAGAAGAUUUUCAUAUCUUUCUAGAGACAGAAAAUUCAAGUUGACACAUGCUCCAGUUAGAAGAUUAUCGAAUACACUCACCCCUUGUUUAGGAAUUCUGUGAACAAAAGAAGCUUCGAGGACCUACCAAUUACAUAUGCAGUUUUUUGGGUCUCCCAGCACUUGCAACCAUAAAACAGAAAUGAAACCAGAAGAUAGACAAGCCAACCUGGCAUAAAGUAAGUUAUGAAUUCAGUCCAGGGACAAGCUUAUACUGCCAUUAACUCCAUAGAUGGAAGAGCAAGCCAAACGACAAAAUAUAAUGACCUUGACAUCUCUGAGAGUUAACACAAACACAGACAUAGAUUUUAAAACAAAAAAUCCCUGAUUCGUUUUAGUAUAUAUAUUCCAUAAAAACACGAAAGAACCCUGAAAAGCACACAACAAAGAUCAAAAUAUACUUUCUAAGGAGUGAAACUUGCAGGUUCUCGAUCAUGACAAAGAAGAAGUUGAAGGGCCACCUGGUAUAUUCCAAAUUCAUGAGACAUCUGAUGAAAACAUCCAGCAGAAGAAAGAUAAAAACAUUAAAAGGAAGGUCCCGUAUGAAAGAUUAGAAAAAAGCAUAGAAAAAGUUGAAAUCCUAGUAAUGGGAAACAGCCACCCACCCCCAGAAAACUUGUUAUUCAGGUCAUUCAACUCCGGACCACUAAACCCAAAAGUUCCAAUGAAGUUCUGUAAAAAGAAAUUUGGAAGUUCAACAACCAUAAGAUAACUGAAAAUCCCUAGAUGAUCUCAUACCUGACAAUUGGUCACUUGAAUAUGACUGAAAAGUGUAAAAUCUACUAGUAAGGCUCUAUAACAUCAAUGAAGUAUGGAAAGUGUAUCAGAGAUGCAUGAUCAAGUUCUUUACAGAAGAAAUGCAGAGGAAACAUCACAGAGGACUAGCAAUAAAAGAGGCAACAGUAAAAAAAAACUCUCUUACAGGAAAGCAAAACGAUAAGUGAUCAAGUCCCUCGAAGAAGGAACAUUGGAAAGCCUUCACAUGGGACUCGAAGAUUCAGGCAACAAUCCGUCAGAAGAACCACUUCCACAGAUAAGCAAACCAUAAAUAUGUUUUUGUGUAUCUUUUCUGUUACACUUCACCAUCUUGCAAAUACAGGUAUACAUCACCUUUGCCAUAUUACAUAUUUGUAAUGUAAGUAGAAGAGGCUUCGAAUAUGAUGAAGUCACUCACUCUAAAGUUCUAGAGUGACUAUUUCAAGAUAAAUUAGAAUGCUGACGAUGUUAUCCAAUAAAAGUACACUAGACUGGCUCAAGCAUGAAGUCCUAACCACAGAAAUUAAAGAGAAAAUGGAAAGGAAGAGAUCACCAACUGAAUUUUUCUAGCCGAAACAGUCCCUUAUCCCUUGUGCAUCAACAAGCAACAAGUCCGGAAGGCUCGCAGAUCCAGCAACAAGCCUUCAGGAACACUCAUGAAAAAAUUGUGAUAGAUGAAGACAAUAGCCAGAAUAUCAUGAUCUUUAACAACUACAAGAAAACACUAUUUUCUAGGAUUCGCAAAGGAGUAGCACAGAAUGUACAUGCACGGCUUGAACACUCCCAGCCUUUAUAAAUCAAGUCAGUGACAUUCCAGCAAGAAGAACUCCCAGGUUUUGCAUACCAACAAACAUAGCAUGACAAAACAAAGUGUCAAACUCUGAUGAGAGUCUACACAGUUUAAAACCCCCCUCUAUAUUUUUUGAAUCUUUGAUCCAUUAGUUCUUCAGAUCACUGAAAAAGGGACUGCAGAAACACAAUGAACCUCUGAUGAGAGUCUACACAGUUUCCAUGUGUUGGGCAUGGUCUCAAUUAUGAAGCAGAAAGUUCACCUCCUUGUGUUGCUUGUACACGGGUCAUCAUUAAUUAAAAGCAGCAAUAUAAAACCGACCUUAGCUUGAUUUUGCAAUAUCUACUCGUUAAAAAAGGCGUUGUAUUUUGAGCAUCAGUAACAAUGAUAAGCUUCGUUACAUUAUUAUAACUUCAGCUUUCAACGCUGAAAUUCAACCCAUUUCAGCAUCACCUCUAUAUAACAUAUCUUUAUUGAGAUUUUUACACUGCUGAAACUUGAAAUAAAAUGAGGAUUUUGUUUCAACUGGGUCUUAUGUCAUAUGCAGCAAAAGUAUUGAGUCAGAGGACAUGUCUGCAAUAUCACAUAACUCAAAGAAAAUGAAAUUUCACACACUGGAUGAAGAAAAAUAGUAAACCACGUUCAAAGCCUAGAUCAACCCCUGUCUGUUAACUGAAACUCAAUUAAUAACCCCAAAUCGUUACUGAAUCGUAAGCACUGAAUUGGAAACCAUAAACUUGGUGUUUGUGAGUGGAACCUCGCAAAAAUAGUUAUAGCUAGCAACAAUUCAUGCUCCUGUACCAGAUAAAUGACUACUUGAGUUGGAAUUCUGAGUAUAAAGAUUCCAUUGAUAUGUAAAAAUCAGGUCUACUCCUUGAGGAUACGGUAAUGCAUCUAAGAAAUUAUUCCAUGAAACGGAUUUCUCUUAAAGCCAUGAAUAACGACAUGGACUAAAUGUUAUGUCCAAGCCAAGAAACUUACUCUAUAAUCAUAUCUUGACAAAUAGAGGUACUUGAGACAAGAUUCGAGAUUUUUAAACCACGUAACGCUAGGUUUUUAUUUUAAUUAUAGGUGUAAACAAGUCGCUGGUAGGAAUAAGAUGGAAAGAAAUAAUAGAAAAUGAGCUUCAAUAUAAAGAUCUUUAAGGCUAUUUUAUACCACCAGUAACUAAUACCAGAAUAAACGAUAUUCACUAAACCAAGAACAAUUCCUCCAGUAAAAGCUUCAAGUGACACUUAACAGGUAACAAUCUUGAUAUCCUUUAGGAGCUAACUUCAGAUCAAACUACCAAAUAAAAUGCAUCCUAAGCCAAAAUAUCUCAAAUAGCACCUUCACCUUGUCUCAUACCAUCGCAAGGAAAACGACAACUAAAACCUCUUUAUAUAGCAUGAACUUAAAACCAUAUGCUUCGACAUGCUGCUUUAAAGGUUGGACGAAAUAUUUGUCCAGAAUAUUUUUUCAUUUUUCCAUAUAUAUAUUGUUAUUAUUUCUUAUUAAUUAUUAAUUAAUAGUAUUAUUAAAAUAAUUAUAAUAAAGAUUAAGAGAAAUGGAUUUCUUUAUUUCUGUUCCUGAAGUAGAAAACGUUCCAUCCAUCUGUUCCUGAAUGGCUUCUUUCAAAAGGGCUUCCGUUGAAGACAAAUAAAUCAAACCCAUAAGAAGUUUUACCAUGAGCAGAUGGGUUGAACUAUAGGGGAGAAUAUGUAAAAUAAAUAGUGCACUGAAUGCAAAAUAAAUAUCUACGCAGAAAAGACAGCAGCUAACUACUACUAUAAGUUCGUCCCUAUUAUAACAUCCUACACCUGCAAGCUUCAACUGCAACAUGAAACCCUAUCCAAAAGAAACCGACUGUGUCUUGCAAGAGUAUUUACAGACAGGACCAGUAGUGUGUUUAUAUACCACCAUGCAUAAAGUAAAAACAACUCGG